GAUGAAGAACGUAGCGAAAUGCGAUAAGUAAUGUGAAUUGCAGAAUUCAGUGAAUCAUCGAAUCUUUGAACGCACAUUGCGCCCGCCAGUAUUCUGGCGGGCAUGCCUGUUCGAGCGUCAUUACAACCCUCAGGCCCCCGGGCCUGGCGUUGGGGAUCGGCGGAAGCCCCCUGUGGGCACACGCCGUCCCUCAAAUACAGUGGCGGUCCCGCCGCAGCUUCCAUUGCGUAGUAGCUAACACCUCGCAACUGGAGAGCGGCGCGGCCAUGCCGUAAAACACCCAAAUUCUGAAUGUUGACCUCGAAUCAGGUAGGAAUACCCGCUGAACUUAAGCAUAUCAAUAAGCGGAGGA
rnacentral:misc_RNA from 1 species